CAUAGCGACUAUCGUGGCAUAUCAAUAAGCGGAGGAAAAGAAACUAACUAAGGAUUCCCUCAGUAACGGCGAGUGAAGCGGGAAGAGCUCAAAUUUGAAAUCUUCAAGGGUUUACCUUUACGAAUUGUAGUUUAAAGAAGUGUUUUCUGUUGAAGUUUUGGUAAAAGUUCUUUGGAAUAGGACAUCAUAGAGGGUGAGAAUCCCGUAUUUGACCAUUAUUUUCAGCUUUGUGAUACACUUUCAAAGAGUCGGAUUGUUUGGGAAUGCAGUCCAAAAUGGGUGGUAAAUUUCAUCUAAAGCUAAAUAUUGGCGAGAGACCGAUAGCGAACAAGUACCGUGAGGGAAAGAUGAAAAGAACUUUGAAAAGAGAGUUAAACAGUACGUGAAAUUGUCAAAAGGGAAGCGUUUGACACCAGUGUUGUUUUUCCGAAAAUCAAUUAAAAUUGAUUCAUGCCAGGUUGUAUUGACCUUAUCAGCUUGCAAUUUGGUUUUGGGUCUCUUUUUGAUGCACUUUUCGGUUAACAAGUCAACAUCAAUUUCCUUUGCUGUAAAAAGGUAAGAGGAAGGUGGCUUCAAUUUCGGUUGAAGUGUUUAUAGCCUUUUAUCUCUGCAGUCGGGGAGAUUGAGGUCUGCAGCGUAGAUCCUUCGGGGCUAGAUACAUUUAUGCUAAGUUAUAGCUUUUCAUAGACAACUUGUUGACUAUGUUUAGUCAUGUAGCUUACUCGUAAGUGCUAUUUUACCUACGCUUAGGAUGUUGAUAGUCACAGCGUGUAC
rnacentral:rRNA from 1 species